GGUACAAUGGUGCUUUGCAGGAAACCCUGUGCCCACAGCAUCUGUUCUGCAGCUUGGCAGACCGCAGCUGGCCCUGAGCAUGGCCUACUAAUUUUCUGGGUCAGGUGUGGCUGUGGUGAGAUGGAUCUCAGCCAGACAUCCUCCUGACAGCUGAAAACAAGACCAGCAGAAGCAACCAACCCUCAUUGCUCACAGCUUGGGCCCAGUGCUCAGCCCCAGGACCAGCUGACACUGAUAGUAGCUGUUUUAAACCACAGGAAUAAAAUGGAGGAAAAAUCAUCUUCCAAAGAUGAGAAAUGCUGCUCACAAAAGAAAGGUGCUGUGUAGAGUCCCAAUAAACAAUAUUGUCUAUAAAUGACUCUGGGAAUCACUAAUAAGUGAUGAUAAAGCUGAUUAUGCAUUAUGUAAAUGUUUAGAUUUGAAAAAAUUGAUUUAUAGCAUAUAAAAUCCCAUUAUUUUAUAUUACUGAAAUAGGAAUAUGAAGGAAUGGAAACAUUUUAUUUUAAAAACAUAAAGUUACACUAAGACAUUAGCUCCUUUGACUCACAUAUUUCAAAAACAAUGACGGUUUUCAGUGGAAAAUAAUGCUAAAAAGUUCUGAAAAUAACAGUAAUAAGGAAGAAUUUGAGUAAUGAAACAUUUAUUCACUCAUUUUCCUUCAAGUAUGUACCAUAUAGCUAUAAAAUAAUUAGACUAAAAAAUGGCAGGCACAGCAGAACCUUAAACCAACAAAUUUAAAGUAUAGACAUUUUGUUGGUAUAAUAAUAGCAUUAAUAUGUAUUGAAUGUUUACCAAGUGCAGGUAACUAUUAUAAAACCUUUAUUGGCAUGAUCUGAAUUACUUCUCAAAACAAAUAGUUGGCAAACUAAGGCCUGUGGGCCAAACUCGGCCCACCUUCUAUUUUUGUACAGAGUUUUAUUGGAACACAGCAACACUCAUUCAAUUAUGCAUUGUCUAUGGCUACUUUUAUGCUACAGAAUUGAGCUGUAGUGGCAGAGACUGUAUGGACUACAGAGCCUGAAGAAUUUGCCAUCUGGCCCUUUACAGAAGAAGUUAGUUGAUCCCUGCAAAACAAUCCAAUGGAGUAGGUACUGUUAUUUCUGCUUUACCCCAAGGUCACAGAAUGGUAAUUGUCAGGGUAGUGAUUCAAAUCCUGAACUGUCUGACUAUAAAGUCUAUCAUCUUUUUAGAUUUAUAGCACAGAGCACAGGCCCUAGAGUCAGACUGUUUGGGUUCAGAUCAGAUUCUACCAUCUAGUAACUGCAUAUUGGACAGUUUGCUUAACUGCCCUGUACCUCGGAUUCCUCCAUAACUCUUCCCAUUGGUAAUAGAUGUGGCUGGUCAUCCUUCGUGUCAGUACAGGCCUUGGACCCUGACUGUCUGUCCCAGGCCCUGCAUCUCGGGGCCUCCCAUGCUUUGGAGUGCCUCCUUCAACAUUCUCAAAGUUUCUCUGGGAACAGCUGGAGUAGCAGUGCCAUCUGGGCAGGGUACCCUGAGCUGGGACCAGUAAGUAUCCUGGUCCCCAUUUCUGCCCUUUGGAUUGCUCUUUGAUCUCUACUUCCCAGCCCUCAUGUGGGGCUGAUCUGUUGCCCCAAGGAGCUCCAGGACUCAUAUCUGUGGGUUUAUUUUGGGAUCCUUGACCUGGCCCUGAUUCCGGGUAGGUGACCAGAUGAGCCACUGCUCCCCAGAAUAGCCCAGUUUUUCUUGUUGAGUCACCAGGCAAGUGCAGAAAUGUUGAUUUUGGUGACUCUCACUUACAUAAAACCCAUACAUUCAGGGCUCUGAGAUUCUCAUGGCCCACUGCCAGCCCUUGACUAGAGCCAUAUGUGGGGUCCAUGUGUCAGGUCUCACCGCUCCAUGUCUGAAUAAAUAGUGGCUUCCAUUCUAUAGCACCCCAAGGCAGUGAAGGUGGUAUCACUUACCCUCUCCCCUGUACCCCUCCCAUCACUAGCACCAGGAAAGUCAAACCCCAUCGCUGAGCAUUCUUCCAGAGCAUUGUCUGUCCCCAAAGAACAUUUGACACUUGUUCUGCAAUGCUAGCAGACCCUCCUGCUUGAGGCCCUCCAAUCAAUGUGUUGCCUGUGUCAAUGUGUUGACAUGAACCCUCUGUGCUUAAGCCAUGUUGGGGAGAGGUGGACAUUUCUUGCACAAAUAGGACCACUCUUCUUUUUCUACCCAUGGGUUCCCCCCACCUCCCCAUGGUGAUAGUGUGUGGAAGGCAAAGGUGCUGUCAACAUUAAAAGAAAUCACAUUCUAGGAAUGUAGGAAUUACCGUAGGGAGUUCAAGAGAAGAUAUGGUCAGAAAAUGUGCUCUUCUAUAUUUAUGCUAUAAAAUUUCAAACAGUGAAUUUAACAUUCUCAGAAAAUGAAUUAACAUUCACAUUUUCCUGCAUAUUCUGGGCAAGACUUGACUUUGUGGUCAUCAUCUCCAAAACACAGUAACCGCCCUCCCUUGAGAGCAUCAGUGGAAGCCAGGAUUCAUGGGUGGCAGCAGGGAUGACACAACAUCAUGAUUGAUGAUACAACCAGCAUUAAAUAAAUGAUAUUAAGGAAAUCCAGAGGCUAGAAAAGCUGUUAUUUCAAUACAAACAAAUGCUGAAGAGCCAGUGUUGUAAUAACAGCAUUGCAACCCUUUUCUCCCAGUGAGACAUGUGGAAUUAGCACAUCUAACAAUAAAAAACACAAAGAGGAUUCUGGCAUCUGCACAGAAAGUGAUGGUGCCUAGACACUAUGAAAAAAUCUUCCCUUGCACUGAUUGAACAAUAAGCAAAUACAAAAAUACCUGUUCUUUACCCAUUAUUCUAAAUCUUCAUUGAUAAAUCAUGACUCAGAUAGGCCUACGAAUUUUGUAAAACAUUAAAUCAAAUUCUUUAUACAGACAGGGACUUGGCAGAAAAUAUUUUCCAGGGACACAUAACAUAAAGAUGCCCUGCUUGGUAUUACCUCAUUUUCUUUUCUAUGAAGUCACUCUUGCUUUCACUUGCAGUUUCUCCUGUCUUUCUUCACAUUGGUGCUUUCCCAUGUUUUUUUUUUCUCGUUUAGGGUGUUCUUUCCUUCUUUUCAAAAAUCACUUUAUGCUUUGUAAUAUUUGUAGCCCUCAACUUCUUUCCAAGCAGGUAAUUUUGCCUUUCUCUCUGUCUCUUUGGUCAUCUGCCUGUCUUAGCCUUUCAGACAUUCUCACACUCUAAUACACACAUGCACGUGCACACACACACUCUAUACAUAUACACUAUGCACAUAUCAUAUAUACACACAACUGAUAAACAUUUUGUUUUAACUUACAAGCAGCAUGUUUACACAGAAUUUGUCCUUGGCUUUAGUAACUAUACUCACCAAAUAGAGGGCUACAUAUCUGAUACAGGAGAGUCAGUCCAGGAUUACUUGCUUUCAUUCUCAAUCUUGUCUGGAUAAUCAGGUUACAGUAUGCUAAGGACAUCAAGAUGCCCAGAAUGGCACAAGCGGAAAUUCUUUUAGAUGCCUUGUUGUGUGCUCUUGAGUGUCUGUGGUUAGAACUUGAUUCUUUACUGGCCUACGGAUCAAGUGUCCUGUGGUUUGUGACAGCUGCAGCAUUGGAUGAGAUAACUGGGGGUGCCAGGCAUAAUUCAUCCCCGUAUGUCCACAUUCUGAUUAUAGAAAGCUAUUGACCUAAAAUAACAUUUUAUAUCAUUUAAAAAUAUUUGGGUAGCCUAAGAUCCAUUUUUUGUUUUGGAUCAGGAGGCACUACAGCCAAUUUUUACAUGUCGUACCUCUUUGUUUUCACAGAUAAUUUAUAUUUCUUUAUCUCUGACACUAUUUGGCUGUCCUAGAAAUAGCUGAUGACACCAAUUAGGAUAUAUGCUCAGUCGCUGAUGACGUCCUAUCCUAUUAUGUGUUCAUGCACAGCAGGGCAGGGUAUCUGAAAUGCAUUUGCUUUAGCACAUUUAGAUAAUGUGUGGGGAAGGUGACAGGUUUUUAUUUUCUUUUUUGCCAAUUUGUGCAUUAGUGUCUCUUAAGUGGCAGAUUAAAAAUUUCUUAAAGCACUAACACUGAUUAAAAAUGUUUGUUUAGGCUUGUUCAGAACUCUUAAGUGCUUGCAGGAUCCAAAUCACAUUCUCGUCCUUUAAGCAAACAACAUUUUAAAAGCCUGUAAUGGCUGUAUCUUAUUGAAGCAAACGAUAAUAACUUUCUAUAGGGCUAUUUUCUUUUAUAAGGUAAAUAACUAAAACUUGUAAAUAUGGAAAAAUAAUCCAGAUCCAUAGACAUAUUUGUAAGUAUAUAUUUCUUAAAAAUGUUUCAGUCCUAUUAGUCUCUAUCAUUUUAAUACACUGACAAAAUGUAUAGUACUUUGUUCUUUUCUCAAAACUCUUUUUCAGAAUUUAUGGCAUUUCUUGUACCUGGUAAAGACUACUGAUAAGCCAUUUCUUGUGGACUAAUAAAAAAAUUAGUUUUUGGUAAGCAUUAAUUUUAGUCUCUGCUUUUUAUCUGUUUAUUCAUUCUUUCAUCCUUCAUUCAACACAGCUUCUGUGCUGGGCUGGGAGUCAGGUUGGAGGAAUGUGCCCUCUCCCCAGGAGGAUGGACUUGAUUGUAUCACUGUGGGGGACCCACUGAAUAGUGGGACCUCUGCAAAGUGCAGUGCAGCCCAAGAGGAGAGAACAACUGAUUCUAACACAGGCUUCACAGAGAAGGUGACAGAGGUUUUAACGGGUUAGUAAAAAAGGAGUUCGUGCAAAGACAGAAAGGCUGAAAAGAUGGGUAUUUGGGGAGUUCUGCAAUGGCAAAUGAGGGGGAAGCUAAAUGUGUGUGGCUGGUGGCAUAAGUAACGUGGGAUGUGUAGAUUGAGGCCAGAAGGUGAAGGGACUUGAGUGCCAUUUUCAAGACUUUGUUUGGACUUUGUCUCCUAGCUAUGGAGACCUCAUAAGGACCUUUAGUCAGGGUGGUGACUUAAAAGUGGGCACUAUUGGAAUCAGAGGCUCUUACAAUAACUGUGAGAGGGAAUAAGGACUUAAGGCAAAGACCUUCUUUGUGAUUAUAGACAAAUUUAUUAUGCAAUACAAUAGAUAAAAAAGAUUAAUGCAUAAGUCUUCAUAGCCCCUCUUCCUCUUCUUCCCCAUACCCCCCAGGAAAAUUCUAGCAGAGCUAUGGAUUAUGAGUUGGAUUUUCUUUGGAGUUCUUUAAGAGAAGAAUAUAAAUAUUCUAAAUGCUUUAAUUCUUCUUUGUUGCUACAUCUUGAUUUGUUUGUUUUUUCACUGUAACUGCACUGAGAUCAGUCCCCAUGGAGCUCUAGGUUAUUAGGGCUACAUAACAUGUUUUUUUUUUUUUUUAGGAGAGCCAGUAUAAUGUUGGGUGACCCAAAGGUUAAUGCCUACUUGGGGGCAGUUUGAAGACCUACUAGUUAGUCACAUCUACAAAGAUAAGACAGGCAAGAUUUUAAAAACCCAAAUCCUGUCUGGUUUCCUGCUACCACAGUAAUUUCCUGAGGAAUACUCCAGGAUAAGAACAUGCUAUUUAUUACCAGCUAGGGCUUUGUCCUUGACACCUCACAAAAGUGCCUAUGCCAGGUCAUGAACCUGGGUCAAUCUGUGGGCAAGAUGUAAGAACCCUUUGCCUCCUCUGAACUCGGAAGCAAUUGAGAUGACAUCCAUCUUUGGAUGUUCUCUCCUGGACUCUACCUGAUUCCUGCUUGGUUUUCUAACAGAGGGAAAAAAGAGGAUGCUGCUUUCCAACCAUAAGGAGGCCUCCAUCCAAUCUUAUCCUAUCAGCUGCUAGGAAGGGAAAAGAGAGAAGUGACCUCUGUUCUAAGAAAGUUGAAUUUUAAAGGAAGAAGUUCUGAAUGAAGUGCCCCAAUCAGGAGCAAGGAUGCUUAUCUUCUUUCCUCCUCUGAUAUGGUUUGACUGUGUCUCUACCCAAAUCUUAUCUUGAAUUGUAGUUCCCAUAAUCCCCAUGUGUCAUGGGAGGGACCCAGUGGGAGGUAAUCGAAUCACGGUGGUGUUUACCUAAAUGCUGUUCUCGUGAUAGUAAGUUCUCAUGAGAUCUGAUGGUUUUAUAGGGGUUUUUCCCCUCCUUCUCUCUGCACUUCUUCUUGCUGCCACCAUGUGAAGAAGGGUGUGUUUGCUUCCAUUUCUGCCGUGAUUCUCUUUCCUGAGGCCUCCCCAGCCCUGCAGAAGUGUGAGUCAAUUAAACCUCUUUCCUGUAUAUUUAAUCAACUAUCUAGUCUCUGUUAUGUCUUUAUUAGCAGCAUGAGAACAGACUAAUACAGCUAACCCACUUUACCCUUAGCAGCAUAGAUUCAAUUCCACCUUCUUUGUGGAAUUGAAUUCCUAAUUCAUAUUAGGGUGUUGGGCAGAGUGAGUAUUUGACUUUCAUUUAUUCAUUGGAUUUUACAUCCAGGUUGUGCCACUAGCACAAACAGUUCAUAGAGGGCCUUGUAUACCUGUUUAGGAAUUUGGGCUUUGUAUGGUAAAGGAGAGUUUCUGAAGGUUGUUAAUUAGGGACUUUAUGGGUUUAGAUGUUCAGUUAGAGAAGUUUAAAAUAUUUUUUAAAAUAAAGUAUCUAAAAAAUAUUUUUAGAGCCCAUCACUCAAAAUUAAAAAGGAAAAACAUUGGCAGGGGUCAUUCUAAAGACAGUGAAAUAGUUAGGAAGCUGUUGCUAUAUAAUAGAAGCAAGGUAUGAUGAGGGCCUGAAUGAAGUCAGUGGCAGUGGGAUUGGAGAAAAGAGAUUGGACAUGAGAAAUAUUUAGGAGGCAAAAGAAGACGGUUGUGUGGAAAAAGGAGAUACUUCCCGGGUUUUGUCCUGAGAAGCUGGCUGGAUGGUAUUGUCACUCACAAGCACAGGAGAAGGAGGAUGGAAGCAUAUUUUUGUUGGUGGUGAACUUGAUUUGAAAUAUGGUAGAUUUGGGGUUCUGGCAGGCCAAACAAGCAGAGAUGUCCAGGGCUCAUCUGGAUAUUCAGGUCUGAAGCCCAGGAGUUGUAUUUGGGCAGGAGAUAGAGAUGUGGGAGUCAUCAGAAAAUAGAUGGCAGUUGAAGCUCUGAAACAAGACAUCACCAAACAGAAGAAUGAGAAUGACCCUAGGGUGCGUGGUAGCAAUGGGGUCAGUAGUCGAAGAAGAACCGGGAAGGAUUCACAGUGGUGUAGUUGGUGGGAGAGAAGGAAAACCAGAGAGAAGGGAGUGAGAGGAGCAGCAGUGCCCUGGAGAGUAAAGUGCUGCAAUGCUGCAGAGAAAAAAGGGAGGUAGGGUGGGGAACAUCUGUGACUUUAGGAAAGUGGUUCAUUGGUGACUGCUGAGCGCAGCUUCAGUGAACGGUGGCAGUAGGUCUGGCGGAAAGUGACUCAGUGAAUGUGAGGUGAGCAAAUGGAGACAUUGGUGUAAACGCCCCUCUCAAGGUUGUGGAAGCGGCUCACGUUUUUGAGGCAGGGCUGUGUUUGUUUUUCAGAGGUAGGGACUUGAGCAUAUUCUCUGCAGAAGCCCCCAGUCAGUGAGACUGGUAAAGUCUGUUGUCAUGUAGUCAGAGGCAGAGUCUCAGUUCUACUCCUUCUCUUAUCUCGGUCACACUGAAUACUUUUGCUCUUUCUUAAAUCACCAGUUGGCUCCUGGGGCUCCCAGGCCUUUCUGGGUUUGCUCUGGGUUUAUUCACCUCUUGUGUCAGUCUGUUCUCAUGCUGCUAUGAAGCAAUACCCGAGACUGGGUAAUUUAUAAAGGAAAGAGGUUUAAUUGACUCAUAGUUCUGCAGGACUGGGGUGGCCUCAGGAAACUUAUGGUCAUGGCAGAAGGAGAAGCAAACAUGUCCUUCACGUGGCAGCAGGAGAGAGAAGUGCAAAGGGGGAAAACCCCUUAUAUAAAAACAUCAGAUCUUGUGAGAACUCACUAUCAUGAGAACAACAUGAGGGUAACUGUCCCCAUGAUUCAAUUAUCUCCUGCUGGGUCCCUCCCAUGACACGCGGGGAUUACGGGAACUACAAUUCAAGAUGAGAUUUGGCUGGGGAUGUAGCCAAACCACAUCACCCCUGUUAGAGGUGGAGGAUUUGCUGUGCCCCUCUCACUGCCACCCCCACUGCCACCAGGGCAGUCAUGUCUCACAUGGUGGGACAUUUGGUAUCCCCACUCCUUCACCCACUUGUGCCUUCAGAGAGGACUCGGAGCCCUCAGGAGAGCUACAGGGUAGUCCCGUGAAUAGCCAGAGGCCAGUGAGAUGAUGUACUCUGAGGAGAGGCUUCCCACAAUACAAACCUUAGGUGUCAAAUGUGCUAUGAGGACACUGAGGCACUGUACCCUCAGCACCUGUGGCAGGUAGGUGGGGCCCAGGCCAGCCACAACAGCCCUUUCAUUUCCCCAUGGUGCUGUCCCAAUGUCAUAAUUUUCUUUGUCAUGAUACGGGAAGCACUGCCUGAUGGGGCCCCACCUCCAGCACAUUGGCUGUCUCUCUGUCACUUGACUUCCUGAAUGGUAUUUAAAUGCCCCCCGCAUCACUGUUGGGUCUCAGCAAACUCUCUGGCCUCUUCUUCAAUUUGCCCUCUGCACACUGGGAAGGCCUAUUUAACUUUGCCUGGCAUCUGUGUGGAAGAAACACUUCUUAGGCAAAGAGCUCCUGGAAGACAAUCUCCCUAGCAACAACGAAGCAUUCUCUCUACAGUCUUUUCUGCUUCUCUUUUGUUGUUAUCUGGAUGACAGGGAUUGAAUCUGGCCUCUGCCCAUAUCAAAUGCUGUCUGGGGCUGGAAACAAGCCUCAAAACGUGUUUUAAAUAUUUUAUUUCCCCCCAUCUCCCCUAAGUCUGCCCACCAUGCAUACGCUUGAUUAAAGUUAUGCCCCAGUGAUCAAUUGUGAGUGACAGUAACCCUCCUAAAGGUAGUCUACUUAGCCUCUGGGCUCAGGCAACACACCUGUGUCUGAUUAGACACUGUUACCCUGCUUGAACAUAUGCCACAUGAAAGCAGCUUUCUCUUGUGCUCUCGUAGUGGGAGAUGCUUUCUUGUAAUGUUAAUGCAGGGCUAGACUUUUCUCCUGCUGAUCCUUUGCCUGGAAUGUUCUCCUCUUCCUUGUCACCAGCCAGAGCCCCACUAAAUCAGUGUAAACUCCUUAAGGGAAGACUAAAGUCCUGGGAAGUGGGGUCAUCCUGGUCUUAUCUCCUUAAAGAACCUAACUCUUCAAGGGGGUCUUCCCUGUUAACCCUCUGUACUAGUUGGCUAGGGCUGCAAUUGCCAAUACCAUGAACUGCGUGACUUAAACAACAGAAACUAAUUGUCUCACAGUUUUGGAGAUCAAGAUCAAGGUGCCAGCAGGUUUGGUUUCUCCUGAGACCUCUUUCUUCGGCUUGCAGAUGGCCACCUUCUUGUUGUGUCCUCCCAUGGCCUUUCGUCUGUGUGUGUGCAUCCCUAAUGUCUCUUCCCCUUUUUAUAAGGACGUGAGUCCUAUCCAAUUAGGGUCCCACCCUUAUGAGCUCAUUCAGCCUUAAUUACUUCUUCAAAGGCUUUAGCUCCAAAUAUAGUCACACUGAGGGUUAGGGCUUCAACAUAUGAAUUUUAAGGGAACACACUUCAGUCCACCUCAUUAUCCUUAACGUUUUCCAUUUUUCUGUAUUCUCUCCAGUGCUUGGGUAUUGCAUCAGUUUCCUAUAAUUGCUUUAGCAAAUUACCAAAAACUUGGUGGCUAUAAACAACAGAAAUUUAUUGUCUCACAGUUCUAGAGGCCAGAAGUCUGAAAUCGGUGUCACUGGGCCGAAAUUAAGCUGUCAGCAAGGCUGUACUCCCUCCAGAGGCUCUAGGGGGAAAUCUGUCCCUUGCCUUUUUCACUUUUUGGUGGCUGGCAGCAUUCCUUGAUUUCUGGAUGCAUCAAUCCAUCCUCUGUGGUCACAUUGUCUACUCCUCUUCUGGUCAAAUUUCCCUUUGCCUCUCUCUUAUAGGGACAAUCGUGAUUGCAUUUAGGGUCCACCCAGAUAAUCCAGAAUAAUGCCCCAUCUCAAGAUCCUUAACUUAAUCAUAUCUGUAAGGUCCCUUUUACCAAAUAAGGUGACUUUUAUAGGUUCCAGACAUUAGAAUCUCCUAUCUUGGGGGCCAUUAUUCCACCAGCCACAGGAGUAUUGUUCAUAAUAUAUCAUUUGAUGUUUAAACAAAUGAUGUAUCAGUUGAUGUUUAACAGCUGACCUACAAGAAGAGCCCUUGUUGCAAGGGCAGGAGACACAAAGAUGUUUUUGCUGGGUGUGUUCACACAAGAUCACACCCUUCAUACCAUAAUCUAGACCCUUGGCUCUGUCCUCCCACAUGACCUUCGCCUGAGGGGAGGGGCUGGGGACUAGGGAGCCAAGGAGUCUCCCUGGGGAGGUGAGGUUUCAGAUGAUCCAGGGGUUGGAAGAAGUUUCUCCCAUGCAUUUUUAUCUCAUGGCUGGUUAAGAGGGGUGGGCAUCCCACUCCCAGAAGCCAUUUCACUUUGAAUACUUUGUUUACUUCUGGUUAGAAGAGUCUUCAGGAGUGUGGGCUCUGGUAAGAAGGUCCCAUUUUCCCUGGUCUUAUACAACCAGGUCUGCUUCUUGUAUUUUGCUAUCGUGACACUUUUGCAAUUUUUCCUCUCAAUUACCUAAGGUACCUGAUGAAUAUUCAACAUGUUUGUGAAGUCCAGAGUGCCAGAUGUAUUGAAAAUGAGCAAUUUUAAUCAACGGUGAACCUACCUCUUUAUUUUUAUGUUUUUUUUUAAAAAAGAGGGCGAUUACUGAAGCUUCACAAAUAGUGCUUCAUUUAGUCAUAGGAGCCAUGAUCUGGUACUAGGAUGGGAGGACUUUAUUGGCUGCUAAUCUAAGAUUGUGUUUGUCUGUUCUUCCUUCUUGCCAUUUAUGGUGAAAAAUCUUCCAGAGCACCACAAGUGUUUUGUUUCUUGUUUCUAGUCCCAUCCCAAUUUCAUUUUCAUGCAAUGGGAGUCAGGUUUGGAAGAUAAUUACCAAUUUCCUUUUCCUACUUUUAACAAUGCCCCUGCUUACCGUACAAAGUUGUGUCUGAACAUUACUGCUUAUUCUGAAAAACUCAAUAUGUAAUUUUUAAUGUCGUUUCAAGCCUUUUGAAGUUUCAUCUGUUUCUGGGGCAUUGCUAAUGGUUUACCUUACAACGCAGAAAGAACUUAUAAAGGAGAUGUCAGGAGAAAAUAAUAAUCUCCUUAAUGCAAUCAUGUCAUUAAGAUGCUACUGUUAAGAGUGGGGGAUGAGGCAGAGGAAAGACCAGACAGUGACUUAGAAACAGGAGCAUUUGGCAUCGAAGGCAUUACUGUCUUGAAGCCUUCUGGCCUGUAGGGUGUAUAGAAACAUGUCAGUUAUGGAGAGAUUUAUAUUAAUCUCCUGUACCAUCUAAUUUGGUUGAUUCAAAAUUAGGUGUAAUUACAAGUGAUCUUCUGGCACUAGGGAGACCAGCCAACAAUAACCUUCAUCAUCUCUUCUGGUGAAGGCCACAUUUGCUCUCAGGUAAAUCUCUCAGAAAAGCUCAUCACUGCCCAUUUUUCUUUGGUCCCAGGCAAAAUUAUGCAUUACACGAACUCACUCUUCCUGCUUUUCCUGGUCUCUCUUGCUACCUGGUCCCAGGCGAGUUGCUAGAGACUUGUGCUCCCACAGUGGGCAUCUGAUAAGUGAGUUCACUUUUCACUGUUGGUGGCUUGCAGAUGUUGUUACUCCUGGAAUUAUUCUAAGGGGACUCCAUGCCUAAUAGAAAAAGCCUCACCUAAAAAGGAACCCAUUUCCAAGGGUAGAGUUUUCUAGCCCUGGGGCAGCUGAGUGUAGAAGAAAUUGUUUUGAGCAGUACUGUUUUUCUAGGGUCACACAAGUUCUGCCUAUUUCACUUGUAACAAUGCUGCCCAUGGGUAUAAGGAUGACAUCCUUUGGAGUUUUAAUGCACAUUUCCUGGAACUUAAAGAUGGGAAUUUUCUAUGGACACAGUACCUCAAAGGGUUUCUUUGUUGGGAUUUUCGAGACCCAAAUGUAAUGAAAGAAUCUUUUCACUACAGAUGAUCCUUGACUUAUGAUGGGGGUUACGUCCUGAUAAGCCCAUUGUAAGUUAAAAAAUGUAAGUAGAAAAUGUGUUUUCAAUUAAGAACCAUCCUAAGUCGGGAACCAUCUGUACUUUUGUGGGUAUUUGGGGUGCAAACGUUGGGGACCAUGUGUUAGGCUGAUAAUGACCAUCUUGCUGAAGUGCCUUGUAGGGUAAGGACUCACCCUGGGAGAGACUGUGAGUUUCCCUGAGGGGUGGACAGUCCACACAUCACCUCUGGGAAGAGGCAGGUCCUCGGAAGUCUGGGGCUUCUGCUCCUCUCUGAGCCUCAGUUUUAUGAGUCUGGACUUCAAGGAGUUUGAGAGAACUUCCAGGGCUGUUUGUUUCUACUCAGUUGAAUUGUUUUUCCUACUUUGUAAGCCAGAACUCCUGGCUCUCUUGGGUUCUAAUGACCCAGGAGACUCUUCAAUGACAUUUGGAUUCUGUUUCCUGGGGAGCUUUCUUCCUUAAUCCUGGGGAUACUCAAAGUGUAAGCCAGCCUGGGAAAAGAUGGAUUGAAAGUUCUGAGGCGGGAGGAUCACGAGUUCAGGAGAUCAAGACCAUCCUGGCUAACAAGGUGAAACCCUGUCUCUACUAAAAAUACAAAAAAAAAUUAGCUGGGCGUGGUGGUGGGCACCUGUAGUCCGUUACUAGGGAGGCUGAGGCAGGAGAAUGGCGUGAACUUGGGAGGUGGAGCUUGCAGUGAAUCGAGAUGGCGCCACUGCACUCCAGCCUGGGUGACAGAGCGAGAUUCCGUCUCAAAAAAAAAAAAAAAAAAAAAGUUCCUGGGGCUGGGCACAGUGGCUCACGCCUGUAAUCCCAGCACUUUGGGAGGCCAAGGUGAGUGGAUCAUUUGAAGUCAGGAGUUUGAGACCAGCCUGGUCAACAUGGUGAAACCCUACCUCUACUAAAUACAAAAAUCAGCCAGGCAUGGUAGUGAGCACCUGUAGUCCCAGCUACUUGGGAAGCUGAGGUAGGAGAAUCGGUUGAAACCAGGAGGUGGAGGUUGCAGUGAGCUGAGAUUGCGCUACUGCACUCCAGCUUGGGUGACAGUGAGACUCUGUCUCAAAGAAAAAGUUCCUGGGGAUAUAGCUGCUGGGACAACUGCCCAGUGUGUUCAGCCCAGGGACUGCAAUACCAGCUUGCUUCAUCUGGAGUUGUUUCAGGAGACACUUAGCCCCUCUCACUUCCUUCACCUUCCUAAAUGACUUUCCCUGAGCACCUCACGUCAGCCUCACUAUUGAGGUGUCCCUACUCUGGCCUUCAGGUCUCUGAAUGGGCACUAUAGACUGGGCAUGAGCUUUCACAAAAUGCUGGCUAAUUUUAUAUAAAUAUCUAUCCUGGGAACCACCUGUUCAGCAGUCUGAUUCUAGAAUCUUCUUCUACUGGAGUCUUCUCAGGAGUGGAUCCCAAUCUUGCAGACCUAGAAGUGGGCAUUUUUUACUCCAAUCCCUGUUUCUGGACUGUUUUGAAUAGAAGCACUACACUACUAGGAUGUGAGUGUAUCCUUUGGUUAGCUCAUAAUAUUCUUUCCCUUCCAAGAAUGCCCCCUCUCCCUAAAAUGAUCUCAGCAGACCCUCAAGGUACCUUUUGGGUCCUUCUCUUCCACAAAACUGCCCCAGGUCUCUCCCUCCCCAGAACUCAAAGCUCUUUUUUCCCCCAGUGAUCCUUUUGGCAAUGAAUCACGUGCAUAUUUUGUGACACACUCCAAUAAUCACUUCAUGGUGAGCAUAAUACCCACUUCACUGACUCAGCUUUGCUCAUUUUGAUGUAUGGCAGACAUCUCUGUCUGCAUGAUGAGUCUCUGGAAUAUUAACUCUAUUCUGCACGAUGGCUUUGCUUUGGGCAGAUGUUUUUAUCUAUCACCCGUGUCAAUCUGUUUUCCAUGAGGGAAAUUUGGCUGACCUUCAGAGGAUGGAUUACUGACCUCCCGGGAGCCAAUGGAAGUGACAUCAUUAACGGAUUUUUUUUUUUAACAGCAAAAAUGGAAGAUAAUUAAAUGCAGCACAGUAGUUGUAAAACAGAUUUCAUUGUGUUAUACAUCACUUCAUAAAGUAAGCAUAGUUCCCAUUCUUCCACGAUGCUUUUUGCAGCAUUGUACCACAGAAUAAUGACUCCCUAAUAACUCAGCUGAAAAAUAUUUAGAUCUACUUGCUCUAAGAAUAAGGUCAACAUUAAACAUUCUCAGAUGAAAAGCUUGCUGGAUGAAAUAGUGCACCAUCAGAAUAAAGCAUGCAAUAUAUUUACAGUCAGAUGAAACAAGUGUGUCCAUAAAUCAACCAAAAGACCAUCUCCUCCUUUAGGAAAUACAUGUAUUGCUUAGCCAGUACCAAUAAGUUAACGUCGUGUGAAUAAUUUUGGGUAUUCUGGCCUUCCUGAAUCUGAUACAGCCAAACCAACCAGAAGGCUUCCCCUCUGGGUUGAUGGUGGCUUAUCAUUUGGCAUCUAGAAACUUCUCUUAUUUUGCUGGAUAUGGCUGUCUAGUGGGUGGCUUACUGACUUGCCUAAGAAAAAAUAA